rnacentral:rRNA from 1 species
UUUUUAUGUGGACCUCUGUUCUUGUGCCUUGUGUGCUUGGAUGGAACCACAUAAGCAGGUGAAACUUCUUAGAGGAACUGGCGCCCAAAAAGGCGCACGAGAAAGAGCAAUAACAGGUCUGUGAUGCCCUAAGAUGUCCGGGGCCGCACGCGUGCUACAAUGACGAUGCUACUGAGCAUGAUUUACUUGUCCGAAAGGACUGGUGAAACUGUUCAAUCAUCGUCGUGACUGGGAUUGGGGUUUGUAAUUAUCCCCCAUGAACCAGGAAUUCCUAGUAAGCACAAGUCAUAAGCUUGUGCUGAUUACGUCCCUGCCCUUUGUACACACCGCCCGUCGCUACUACCGAUUGAAUGGUUUAGCAAGGACAUUGGAUUGAGCCCUUGCGGUUUCGGCUGCUUGGGUUUGAGAAGAUGUCCGAACUUGAUCAUUUAGAGGAAGUAAAAGUCGUAACAAGGUUUCCGUAGGUGAACCUGCGGAAGGAUCAUUA